GUGGGGAAUCUUGCGCAAUGGGCGAAAGCCUGACGCAGCCAUGCCGCGUGGAUGAUGAAGGUCUUAGGAUUGUAAAAUCCUUUCACCGGUGAAGAUAAUGACUGUAGCCGGAGAAGAAGCCCCGGCUAACUUCGUGCCAGCAGCCGCGGUAAUACGAAGGGGGCUAGCGUUGCUCGGAUUUACGGGGCGUAAAGGGCGCGUAGGCGGACAUUUAAGUCAGGGGUGAAAUCCCGGGGCUCAACCUCGGAACUGCCUUUGAUACUGGGUGUCUUGAGUAUGAGAGAGGUGUGUGGAACUCCGAGUGUAGAGGUGAAAUUCGUAGAUAUUCGGAAGAACACCAGUGGCGAAGGCGACACACUGGCUCAUUACUGACGCUGAGGCGCGAAAGCGUGGGGAGCAAACAGGAUUAGAUACCCCGGUAGUCC
rnacentral:rRNA from 1 species